rnacentral:rRNA from 1 species
AUGUUUGAGCCGGAUAAAUAUCCCGGCUUUGAUGAUUAUAACAAGGAGAAGCAUCGUGUUGUGCUAGUGGAAAGAAGGGAGGUUCCUCCAGUACUUCGUUUGAGAGGCCACAACCCACGUGAGUCCUUGAGGUAUGACCGUCGCUACGAGCCUUAUUUUAGAAGAAUGGAUCUUCUCCAGUUUGUGCUCAACUUUAAAGGCACACCACCAUGGCUGAACUCGACGGCCAUUACCGCCAUUACGGACCGUUGGAGGCCAGAGACGCACUCUUUUCACCUUGCUCUUGGUGGACCGUUACUUUGGAGGAUAUUGUGA